UACGGGGGGGGCAAGCGUUGUUCGGAAUUACUGGGCGUAAAGGGCUCGUAGGCGGCCAACUAAGUCAGACGUGAAAUCCCUCGGCUUAACCGGGGAACUGCGUCUGAUACUGGUUGGCUUGAAUCCGGGAGAGGGAUGUGGAAUUCCAGGUGUAGCGGUGAAAUGCGUAGAUAUCAGGAGGAACACCAAUUGCGAAGGCAGCUCGCUGGGACGUUACUGACGCUGAGACGCGAAAGCGUGGGGAGCAAACAGG
rnacentral:rRNA from 1 species